UGAACUUUGAUGAAACUCCCUUGUGUUCAUAGUUAACCUUGGUGAAACUCCCUUGUGUAAUUAUCAGAGUUAAAGAUGUCUAGACCAGUAAGGGACAUACUGACAUGGACUCUAUGUAACUAUAGGCUGGUCUACUCAGAGGUGGUGGGUAAGCUGGCGUAAGUGUUGGGUCCAGUAGUUGAAAAAAAGCGCAGCCUCAUGUUGUGCUUGACAGAGUUUCUGCCCAUCCUGUGGUUGAUAUCCACUGGCGCUACCGGACGGUAGUCCUCUACCCGGAAGGUAGUCGCGCAUGCGCACUACCCGAUCAGUCGCCACUUUGAGACACUGUAGAGUAGACAGCGGAAUACAAUCGCUGGCUAAAGCUGAUGGAAGUUUGCGAAAGACGGUAUACUUUAAGAAGUUUGGUCAUUGUAUACCGCUGUAAGUUCUUAACGUUUGUAUAAUAAAGAAGUUAAAGAUAUACUGGAUAUCCUCUUUUGUUCUCCCUGUUGAUAUCCACAAACUCUAUCCGACCAGUCGACGCAAGCCGCACGCAGACCGCAAGGCUGUGAUUGGUCGGCUAACUACAUCAUUUCCGGAGUCUCACAUAUUUCCGGUUUCAUCCCCUCAAAUCAUAAUACCGCCAUUUUUUUAAAUCCAAGGCAGAAACCAAGGAAGAUUUGAAGAGCGAACAUGAACCAAAUCGAAGAGCGAUUAGCAGAAGAGGUCAGGAAACACGAGCACUUGUAUAACCCGUAUCGCACGGACAAGGACCCACAGACCGCGUACAAUUCCUGGAAGGUGAUCUCGGCCAGCGUUGGUUUGGAGGUGCUGGAUUGUUCGACGCUGUGGCGGAAGAUGAGGGACAGAUUUGUCCGCCAGAAUAAGGCCAUGACGGGCAGCGGUGACUCGAAAGCCACUGCCUUUUAUAUAUUCCUGUCGUGGUUGGAACCACACAUAAGACACAGAGAGACGUCGUCAAAAUACGAUAAGCCCUCACCUUGCAACGUAGCCACGAAGAAAGGACCUUCGUUAUCCACCUCAGUUUCUCGGCUCCCCAGUUUAUCGGCUCGGCGAUUAGCAGAGGAGGUCAGGAAACACGAGCACUUGUAUAACCCGUAUCGCAAGGACAAUGACCAACAGACCGCGUACAAUUCCUGGAAGAUGAUCUCGGCCAGCGUUGGUUUGGAGGUGCUGCGUUGUUCGACGCUGUGGCGGCAGAUGAGGGACAGAUUUGUCCGCGAGAAUAAGGCCAUGACGGGCAGCGGUGACCGGAAAGCCACUGCCUUUUAUAAAUUCCUGUCGUGGUUGGAACCACAUAUAAGACACAGAGAGCCGUCGUCAAAUUACGAUAAGCCCUCACCUUGCAACGUAGCCACGAAGAAAGGACCUUCGUUAUCCACCCCAACACCUGAGGCCCCCCCCGAGACAUUCACCUCAGUUUCUCCGCUCCCCAGUUUAUCGGCUCGGCGAUUAGCAGAAGAGGUCAGGAAACACGAGCACUUGUAUAACCCGUAUCGCACGGACAAGGACCCACAGACCGCGUACAAUUCCUGGAAGAUGAUCUCGGCCAGCGUUGGUUUGGAGGUGCUGGAUUGUUCGACGAUGUGGCGGAAGAUGAGGGACAGAUUUGUCCGCCAGAAUAAGGCCUUGAGGGGCAGCGGUGACCAGAAAGCCACUGCCUUUUAUAAAUUCCUGUCGUGGUUGGAACCACACAUAAGACACAGAGAGACGUCGUCAAAAUACGAUAAGCCCUCACCUUGCAACGUAGCCACGAAGAAAGGACCUUCGUUAUCCACCCCAACACCUGAGGCCCCCCCCGAAACAUCUACCUCUUCACCCGAGGCCUCUGUCCAGCCAUCCACCCCAACACCCGAGGCCUCUGUCCAGCCAUCCACCCCAGCCACACCUGAGGCCUCCCCCGAAACAUCCACCUCUUCACCCGAGGCCUCUGUCCAGCCACCCACCCCAACACAUGAGGCCUCCCCCGAGACAUCCACCUCAGUUUCUCCGCUCCCCAGUGUACCGGCUCUGUCCACCCCUCCAGCCGCCAUGAGGCUGGCAUCUCCUCUGUCCCGCAGGGGCCGGAAGAAAAGGCAGAGGGGGCAGGAUGACGGGCAGAGGAGGCAGGACGACAGGCAGAUGAUCCGGCUGGACGGGCAGAGGAGGCAGGACGACGGGCAGAGAGGGCAGGACGACGGGCAGAGGAGGCAGGACGACAGGCAGAUGAUCCGGCUGGACGGGCAGAGGAGGCAGGACGACGGGCAGAGAGGGCAGGACGACGGGCAGAGGAGGCAGGACGACAGGCAGAUGAUCCGGCUGGACGGGCAGAGGAGGCAGGACGACGGGCAGAUGAUCCGGCUGGACGGGCGCAGGCUGGACGGGCAGAAGAAGAAGAUGGGGGUCAGGGAUGAGUAUUCUAGAUUUGGUGAGCUGGUGGCUGCUAUGAUGAGCAGGGUGCAGGAAGAUAAGAGGGCCGAAGCAAUGAACUCUGUGUACAGCCUGUUGGACAGAAGCAAUGCACUCUGGGUACAGCCUGUUGAACUGAAGCAAUGCACUCUGGGUACAGCCUGUUGGACUGAAGCAAUGCACUCUGGGUACAGCCUGUUGGACUGAAGCAAUGCAGACUGACUGUGUACAGUGUGACGACCCCUCCACGCCACUAGGAGUCUUUUCCCUCUUGCUGGCCCUUUUCCAGGUUUCCUGUUUGGAGUGGUGGGUCAUCAGGCCUGAUGAGUUACACCUGUGGCCGGUUUGGCUCUGUGGCCUAUACCAGCACUCCUUCUCCAGUUCCCGGGAGAGAUCCCUUCCCCGUUGCAGACGGCUGCGUUUUGACUGUUGUUAUCCUUAUUUCAUUAUCUUUGUAAUAAAUGAUUGUUACUUCGUUCAUCCCUCG
ensembl:lncRNA